rnacentral:rRNA from 1 species
AUUGAACGCUGGCGGCAUGCCUUACACAUGCAAGUCGAACGGCAGCACGGGUGCUUGCACCUGGUGGCGAGUGGUGACCGGGUGAGUAAUAUAUCGGAACGUACCUUAUCGUGGGGGAUAACGCAGCGAAAGCUGUGCUAAUACCGCAUAAGCCCUAAGGGGGAAAGCAGGGGACCGUAAGGCCUUGCGCGAUUAGAGCGGCCGAUACCUGAUUAGCUAGUUGGUGAGGUAAAGGCUCACCAAGGCAACGAUCAGUAGCUGGUCUGAGAGGACGAUCAGCCACACUGGGACUGAGACACGGCCCAGACUCCUACGGGAGGCAGCAGUGGGGAAUUUUGGACAAUGGGGGCAACCCUGAUCCAGCAAUGCCGCGUGAGUGAAGAAGGCCUUCGGGUUGUAAAGCUCUUUUGUCAGGGAAGAAACAGCAGCUCUAAUACAGUAUGCGAAUGACGGUACCUGAAGAAUAAGCACCGGCUAACUACGUGCCAGCAGCCGCCGUAA